GAUCCGAGCGUUAUCCGGAUUUAUUGGGUUUAAGGGAGCGUAGGCGGACGCUUAAGUCAGUUGUGAAAGUUUGCGGCUCAACCGUAAAAUUGCAGUUGAUACUGGGUGUCUUGAGUACAGUAGAGGCAGGCGGAAUUCGUGGUGUAGCGGUGAAAUGCUUAGAUAUCACGAAGAACUCCGAUUGCGAAGGCAGCCUGCUGGACUGUAACUGACGCUGAUGCUCGAAAGUGUGGGUAUCAAACAGGAUUAGAUACCCUGGUAGUCCACACAGUAAACGAUGAAUACUCGCUGUUUGCGAUAUACAGUAAGCGGCCAAGCGAAAGCGUUAAGUAUUCCACCUGGGGAGUACGCCGGCAACGGUGAAACUCAAAGGAAUUGACGGGGGCCCGCACAAGCGGAGGAACAUGUGGUUUAAUUCGAUGAUACGCGAGGAACCUUACCCGGGCUUAAAUUGCAGAUGAAUUACGGUGAAAGCCGUAAGCCGCAAGGCAUCUGUGAAGGUGCUGCAUGGUUGUCGUCAGCUCGUGCCGUGAGGUGUCGGCUUAAGUGCCAUAACGAGCGCAACCCUUGUUGUCAGUUACUAACAGGAUUUGCUGAGGACUCUGACAAGACUGCCAUCGUAAGAUGUGAGGAAGGUGGGGAUGACGUCAAAUCAGCACGGCCCUUACGUCCGGGGCUACACACGUGUUACAAUGGGGGGUACAGAGGGCCGCUACCACGCGAGUGGAUGCCAAUCCCAAAAACCUCUCUCAGUUCGGACUGGAGUCUGCAACCCGACUCCACGAAGCUGGAUUCGCUAGUAAUCGCGCAUCAGCCACGGCGCGGUGAAUACGUUCCCGGGCCUUGCACUCACCGCCCGU
rnacentral:rRNA from 1 species